AAGUUGUAACAAGGUUUCCGUAGGUGAACCUGCGGAAGGAUCAUUAACAAAUCCUGCUGCGGUGCCGCAAGGUGCUGUAGUAUAUUAACUCGGUCCAGGUCGCAAGGCCCGGACUGAUAAAUUCAUGUGUGUGUAAUGUUGACAAUGUGUGUGGAAGAAUGAAUAGUAGACAACUUUUAACAAUGGAUCUCUAGGCUCUU
rnacentral:misc_RNA from 1 species